UCCCUGGUGGUCCAGCAGUUAGGACUCUGCACUUCCACUGCAGAGGCACAUGUUUGAUCCCUGGUUGGGGAA
rnacentral:tRNA from 1 species